rnacentral:lncRNA from 1 species
CUUUGCCAGCAUCUCUAGGAUAACAGCUUUUAUCAGCGAUGAGCAGCGUGCCCACAGCUGUGUGCAAGGGCUCAGCUGCCAGCCGCUGAUAAGAGCAGCGCUGAAUGCUGUGUCUGCCCCCAUCACCCCCUGCAAGCUGUUAUGUGACUCCAGCCCCUCUGAGGGUUGGGGGGCUUCAGGACCCAUGUAGCACCCUCUUCCCCUCUGCAAAGGCCAGGGCGAAACAUGACCACUAAUGAAUGGGGCACAGCGGUACCAGGCCACAGGACUUGAAGAAGCUAAUUUGGAACUGCAAGAGGAAGUUAAGGAGGUGAAAUGUGCAGCCUUAACUGCCUUGGGACCUGCCUUUCUCCCUGUAUCAUAAGCGACCUGUUGAAUCAAAAGGGAAGGGGGCUUGCUGGAGCCUCUCUGAGGUGCGGAUACUCCACCACCCAAGCUUGGAGUCUUGACUUUCCAGAUGACACCUCAGCAGCUGGGAGAGACGCAGCCCUGGGGGGACUGAGGACAGGUACUGUGGGACGAGGGGUCCGAUGGGUCGGCGGGCCAACUGGUAGCACUCUCCUCCGACAUCUCGAAGCCACACUCGUGACUUUGGAAGCCAAUGGGGUCGUUUUUGAUUGA